GUCCAAUAUGCAGUUACAGACUUUGGUUGUUCAAAGUAGUAUAGACAAGGGUAAGGGAGAGACAAAGUCAGACAGGCAAAAGGGUCGGUUCAGGCAGCGCAGGAUCAUAAACGUUGAACAAGCCAGGAGGUCGGAUAUCCGAUAAGCAGACAGGAACAGGGAACAACUUGAUAGGAGUCUGGAGCACAGAAUACUGAGCAUAGAUAGGUCUGAGCAGGUUUCUAUAGGAGAGGGGGUGGCUUACAUUUUCACAGGUGUCCUCCCUGUCUCCUGGGACCUCCUUUUGGAAAACGGCUACUUCCCAUUUAAGACGCUUUUGUUCUUGCACAUGCGCCUAGAAUACCCAGUCG